rnacentral:misc_RNA from 1 species
GAUGAAGAACGCAGCGAAAUGCGAUAAGUAAUGUGAAUUGCAGAAUUCAGUGAAUCAUCGAAUCUUUGAACGCACCUUGCGCCCUUUGGCCAUUGCGAAGGGCAUGCCUGUUUGAGUAUCAUGAACACCUCAACUCUUUAUGGUUUUCCAUGAUGAGCUUGGACUCUGGGGGUUUUGCUGGCUCACAGUCGGCUCCUCUAAAAUGAAUCAGCUUACCAGUGUUUGGUGGGUAUCAUGGGUGUGAUAACUAUCUACGCUUGUGGUUUUUCCACCAGGUAACCUUCAGCAGUGGAGGUUCGCUGGAGCUCUUAGAUGUCUCUCCUCAGUGAGGACAGCCCUUUGAAUGUUUGAUCUCAAAUCAGGUAGGACUACCCGCUGAACUUAAGCAUAUCAAUAAGCGGAGGA